AAGAGAAGGGAACGUCUGCUGUUGAUGUAGUUCAUAAUAAAACAAUUUAUAUCACAGUGGCUGUUCUUUUUUGUU
rnacentral:pre_miRNA from 1 species